AAUUUACCCAUAGCCUACCUUUUAUCUUAUCAAACAAAAACAAAAUAACUCAACAAAACUUUUCAAACCCGCAAGGAUAAAACAAUAUUUCUAACAAGCCUAAAUAAAUUUUAUUACUUAUUGCAUAACGGCUCAGCAAUCAAUUUUCAAAAUGGUUUUUCCCGAAAUCUAUUGAGCUGGUUUAAUUUUGCUAAGAGCCCAAUAAUUAGUGUUUCAAUACUAAAAUUAAAAAUUAAAUCAGCGGCUACAUACCAACCGCAAUAGAGUAUAGCUGGUUUUCUACAAAAACUAUAUAAAUAGUGUAUAAUCAAAGAUUAUUAUUAAAAUAAGAGAAAAGCUCUUAUUUAAAGUUAAGCCGAUAAUUAAGCCUAUAUUUUAAGUAGGCUUUAAAGCAGCCACCUUUAUUGUAAAGCGUUACAGCUUUAACUCAUUACUUGCCUUAAAUCCAUAAAUUUUUGCUAACUUGACUAAUAGAAAAUCACACAAAAUAACUUCAGUGUGACUUACUCUGCUGAGAUAAGUAUUCAACUCUUCUUUUAACUAAAUUAUUUAAAUCUUAGUUUAAAAAAUAAUAUUAAAUUAACCUUAAAAAAAGGAACUCGGCAAACAUAGAUUUCGACUGUUUAUCAAAAACACUGCCUCAUGAACUUUUAAUAAGAGGUUAUUCCUGCCCAGUGACUUACGAGUUUAACGGCCGCGGUACCCUGACCGUGCUAAGGUAGCGUGAUCAACUGCCCUUUAAUUGUGGGCCUGACGAACGGAACCACGAAAAUCUUACUGUCUCUUUUUAAUUAACUAGAAAUUGACCUCUAGGUGAAAAUACCUAGAUUUAUAAAAAAGACAAAAAGACCCCGUAGAGCUUUGUUUAACUCAUUAUUGAUUUUUUAUUAAAAUAAAUACCAAAUUAAAAAUGUAAGAACUUAACUGGGGCGGUUAAGGAAAAGAAAAACUUCCUUUAAUUUUACAGGAUACUACCCUACUUUAAAAUUGACCCUAAUUUAAUAGAUCAAAGGAAUAGCUACCUCGGGGAUAACAGACUAAUUUUUCUUAAGAGUUCGCAUUGACAGAAAAGUUUGGCACAUCGAUGUUGGCUUAGGAGAUCCUAAGGGUCAGUAGCAGCCCUUAAUGGCUGGUUUGUUCAACCAUUAAACUCCUACAUGAGCUGAGUUCAGACCGGCGUAAGUUAGGUCAGAUUCUAUCUUUUUAUAUUUUAAACCGUGUUUUAUUUGUACGAAAGGACUUUAAAUUCAGUAUUUAAUACAUAAUUAUGAAUAAAAAUAACCAAUUUUUAAAAUUAAACCUAUUAACCAAAUAAUUAACAA
rnacentral:rRNA from 1 species